CGCACAUUGCGCCCUUUGGUAUUCCGAGGGGCAUGCCCGUUCGAGCGUCAUUACACCCCUCAAGCCCGGCUUGGUGUUGGGUCCCGGGUCCGACCCGGACCCCAAAUGCGUCGGCUGGAGAUCUCCCGAACUCAGCGUUGUGGUAUCAUCAAUUCGCUGACGAGAAGGAGGUUCCGUGCCGUAAACUUUCAUUCAGGUUGACCUCGGAUCGGGUAGGGAUACCCGCUGAACUUAA
rnacentral:misc_RNA from 1 species